AUCAAUAAGCGGAGGAAAAGAAAAUAACAAUGAUUCCCUUAGUAACGGCGAGUGAAGGGGGAUAAGCUCAAAUUUUAAAUCUGGCUAGGUUUUACCUAUCAGAGUUGUAUUUUGAAGAAGCGUUUUCCGCGUCUCGGUUGGCCCAAGUCCUUUGGGAUAAGGCAUCAUGGAGGGUGAGAAUCCCGUUCGGUUGACCUUUAGACGUUUUACGAUACGCUUUCAAAGAGUCGAGUUGUUUGGGAUUGCAGCUCAAAAUGGGAGGUAAAUUUCUCCUAAGGCUAAAUAUUGGCGAGAGACCGAUAGCGAACAAGUACCGUGAGGGAAAGAUGAAAAGAACUUUGAAAAGAGAGUAAAAUAGUACGUGAAAUUGUUGAAAGGGAAACGAUUGAAGUCAGUCGUACCGACGAGAAAUCAACUUUUCGAGUGCUUACUUGUGGGCGUGCGUGAGCUGUCAAAGGCCUCGCUGUUUGCAUGUUUGUGCUUUUUGGGUGUACUUUUUCGUAUGGUAGGCCAACGUCAGUUUCGAUCACCAUAAAAUGAUCGGAGGAAUGUAGCUUCGAUCUCGUAUUGAAGUGUUAUAGCCUUUGGUAGAUGUGGUGAUCGAAACUGAGGAUUGCAACGAAUACCCUUUGGGCUAUCCGUCUGACCUCUGGAAGUUGCUUGGGUGCCGAAAGCUUGCUUAUGGUAUUUAAGACGACGGUCAAAAGGUUAGAACGUGAUUACAUUCGUUAAGGACGUUGACGUAAUGGCUUUAAACGAC
rnacentral:rRNA from 1 species